rnacentral:rRNA from 1 species
GCCUACGGGACGCAGCAGUGGGGAAUAUUGCACAAUGGGGGAAACCCUGAUGCAGCGACGCCGCGUGAGUGAAGAAGUAUUUCGGUAUGUAAAGCUCUAUCAGCAGGGAAGAAAAAAGACGGUACCUGACUAAGAAGCCCCGGCUAACUACGUGCCAGCAGCCGCGGUAAUACGUAGGGGGCAAGCGUUAUCCGGAUUUAUUGGGUGUAAAGGGCGCGUAGACGGGAAUACAAGUUGGUUGUGAAAGCCCUCGGCUUAACUG